UGGGGAAUCUUGGACAAUGGGGGCAACCCUGAUCCAGCCAUGCCGCGUGAGUGAUGAAGGCCUUAGGGUCGUAAAGCUCUUUCGCCUGUGAAGAUAAUGACGGUAGCAGGUAAAGAAACCCCGGCUAACUCCGUGCCAGCAGCCGCGGUAAUACGGAGGGGGUUAGCGUUGUUCGGAAUUACUGGGCGUAAAGCGCACGUAGGCGGACCAGAAAGUUGGGGGUGAAAUCCCGGGGGCUCAACCCCGGAACUGCCUCCAAAACUAUUGGUCUAGAGUUCGAGAGAGGUGAGUGGAAUUCCAAGUGUAGAGGUGAAAUUCGUAGAUAUUUGGAGGAACACCAGUGGCGAAGGCGGCUCACUGGCUCGAUACUGACGCUGAGGUGCGAAAGUGUGGGGAGCAAAACAGGAUUAGAUACCCUGGUAGUCCACACCGUAAAACGAUGAAUGCCAGUCGUCGGGUAGCAUGC
rnacentral:rRNA from 1 species